CUCAAACUCCUGAGCUCAAGAGAUCCUCCCGCUUUAGCCUCCAGAGUAGCUGGGUCUAUAGACAUAAGCCAUCAUGCCCUGAGGGUCAGCUGCAGCCCUGUUUUAGAAAUAGUAUGGACUCAGGGGCUAGAACAGCGGCCAGAAUUCUAGCUUUCUCCUCUUCAUGUGUGCUUCGUUCAUCAUUUUUGCAGAUUGGCAUCCUCUGCUUCUUGAAUCCCCAUGCAGAAAAUAUGGCUACCAACAGCUUCUGAAUCUACCUGCAGAGAGACUGACUGCUCUGUUAUUUUCCCAGCAUCUGUGAAAAGACUCUGACUGUCUAAAAUGUUGGUAUAGUGAUCACCCCAGGGUUAAGCAACCAUGACUGGUGAAAAGGAAAAACGUUAUGAACCUGGCUAUUCAGAGCCACCUGAGGAAGCUUGUAGGAGAAGGUGUCAGUUUACAGAGAAAGGGGAGUCCUGGGCAGAUGAUACAAGAGGUGCCCAUUACAUCCUUCUAGAGGAAGGAUUCUGUAGCUUUAGGGGAAGACAGAGCCACAAGAUGAAAGGAGCUUGGAUCUCCGAACUAUUCCAUGGAAAAAAGCUGCAGUCAAUGAAGAACACCUGCAAUGGACUCUUAACCUGGGGGUGAUGACAACCACUGAAAUGUUUACUGCACUUGCCUCUAGCAAGUUAUGGAAUUCUGCGCCACUCAAAUCCUCUAUCUGUUGCAAAAAUGUGCAUCUCAAGAUGGUGCUCUUGAGCUGUGGUGGAACAUCUUCAGACAGACACUGUGGGACCCACAAUGAAGCAACUGAGAAAAAGGACACCACUAAAGAACCACCAGGGUGCAGCAUUCCUGAGUGGCAGAAGCCAUGCAGGAAAUCGCAAUGCUGCACCUUAGUCCAGGGAUUUUUAAAGUGUGGUUCCUGAAAGAGCUGUCUCAGAGUCAUCCGUGUUGGUGGUGUAAUGUAAAGAUUUUCAGGCCUCAAGACUGAAGUAGGACAAGGAAUUUGAAUUUUUAAGCAGCUCACCUGACUUGUCUGUCCUCUAAUAUCUGAGAACACCUGACUUCUGCUCUUUCAGUAAAGGCAACAAUGGUUUUAUGAGCACUGUCGUCACAUCUCUCCACUCUAGGGAUCCUUCUCAUUUCUCCCAGACGAGGUCACCCACAGCUGCUGCUUCUAACUGCUGGCUUCCAGCCUGCUGUCUGCCAGCUGGCUCUACCCUCUCCUAUAACACAGCAGAGAGUAGCUGUGAUCUCCUGUGUGCUCACCCUCCGCUUCCUUGGGUCCAUGUUUUGGUCCUGCACUUAAAUUUUACAAGCAUAUUCUCUUUCUCUUAAGGUAAGCAACCAUUUUAAAUCUCAGCAGUAAAUAAAACAAAAAAUCACCAGGAAACUAUAUCAAAUCA